UACGUAGGUGGCGAGCGUUAUCCGGAUUUGCUGGGCGUAAAGCGCUUGUAGGUGGCUUGGUAAGUUGGGCGUGAAAUCUCCGGGCUUAACUCGGAGAGGCCGUCCAAUACUGUCAGGCUAGAGGAUAUUUGGGGAAAGUGGAAUUCCUGGUGUAGUAGUGAAAUGCGUAGAUAUCAGGAGGAACACCCGUGGCGAAGGCGGCUUUCUAAGAUAUUCCUGACACUGAGAAGCGACAGCUAGGGGAGCAAACAGG
rnacentral:rRNA from 1 species